UACAGAGGGUGCAAGCGUUGUUCGGAAUUAUUGGGCGUAAAGCGCGUGUAGGCGGCUUUGCAAGUCGGGUGUGAAAUCCCUCAGCUUAACUGAGGAAGUGCGCCCGAAACUGCUUUGCUUGAGUGCCGGAGAGGAUGGCGGAAUUCCCCAAGUAGAGGUGAAAUUCGUAGAUAUUGGGAGGAACACCAGUGGCGAAGGCGGCUCACUGGACCGGUACUGACGCUGAUGCGCGAAAGCGUGGGGGAGCAAACGGGG
rnacentral:rRNA from 1 species